UUUAUUUUAUAUGUAAGAUUUGCUAUUUUUUCUUUUGAUUUUGAUGGAUAUUAUUAAUAAAAAGGCUCAAUCUUCUUUAUUGCAUUUGUAAGUUUCUUUGUUAGCUUCUAUGUGUGUUCAAUAAUAUCAUAUUUGUGCCAAUGAACAAGAUGUUCUUUUCUAUUUUGGCAUUGCUUUGAAUCUAAGAUUGGUUCCACCUCAAAUUUUUGAUUAUUAUCUACUUCUAUAGGAAGAAGUGGCAUUUUUCUUUUUCUUAAAAUAUUCAUUGUCUUAUAUGGUUUAAAAAGAGAUAUGUGGAAUACAAAAUGGAUAUUCUUAGAC
rnacentral:lncRNA from 1 species